rnacentral:rRNA from 1 species
UACGGGGGGAGCAAGCGUUGUUCGGAUUUACUGGGCGUAAAGGGCGCGUAGGCGCCACCGCAAGUCAGUUGUGAAAUCUCUGGGCUUAACCCAGAACGGUCAGCUGAUACUGCGGGGCUAGAGUGCAGAAGGGGCAACUGGAAUUCUCGGUGUAGCGGUGAAUGCGUAGAUAUCAAGAGGAACACCUGAGGUGAAGACGGGUUGCUGGGCUGACACUGACGCUGAGGCGCGAAAGCUAGGGGAGCAAACGGG